GGUGGCCUCAAAACCUGAAGGGGGUGUAACUUAAACUACACACACGACAGCGUCCGUUGGGAAAGACGAAAAGGAACAAUUUCUUGGUGGGCAUUUGAGAGGCGUUUACUAAAACAGCAGGCAUGGUUCUUUUUCAACCUGGGGUGAGGGGCAUGGGCGAAGCUCUCCUAGAAAACAGGUGCAAAGGGGAAGUCUUUACUGGAAGCACAAAGAACAGCUUAAUAUUGCAGAGGAGGCUGGGAGGAUGCCAGGAGACGUCCCAGGGGAGGCUGCUGCCAAGCAACAGGCAGGCAGAAAGCUGACAGAGCUCUUUUCUUAAUGCUGUCUGCUGGCUCCGAAGUUCUAUCAGAGAACUGCAUCGAAAGGCUCAGUAUACUUUAAAACAAUCAUGGUGACUCUAGAGCAAUCUGAAGUCUGAGAAUCUGGGAAGCGGGCUAGAGAGAUGGGGAAUCCAUCAGCUCUCUGUGGGAGUGGCUCUUCGGCUUGGGUGGAAAGCCCCUUGAGACAGCUCCACAUGGCCAGACAUUCAGUGCCACCGCCCUGUCUGUGCCUUUGAAGGCACAGUUUGAAUCUAAGUGUCUCCUAAAUGCUUCCCAGACACCUCUUAGGAGAGGAGGUGAAUGUAUAAAGAGUACACCAUUUCUGCCGGCAAAGACACGCUGUCCCCUCAGCCGACAAGCAGUCGCCACAGGAACUCGUUUGUUCUUUGAGAUCAUGCACUCACAAGGAGAAAACCACACAAAUGGGAACUUUUUAUUAAAAUAUUUCUUUGCUUAUGA